rnacentral:rRNA from 1 species
UACGUAGGGGGCAAGCGUUGUCCGGAAUGACUGGGCGUAAAGCGCGCGCAGGCGGUCUCUUUAGUCUGAGGUGAAAGGUUGGGGCUCAACCCCAAAGGUGCCUUGGAAACGGGGAGACUUGAGGGUCGGAGAGGUCAGGGGAAUUCCACGUGUAGCGGUGAAAUGCGUAGAGAUGUGGAGGAAUACCAGUGGCGAAGGCGCCUGACUGGACGAAACCUGACGCUGAGGCGCGAAGGCGUGGGGAGCAAACAGG